rnacentral:rRNA from 1 species
UAAGGAAUAUUGGUCAAUGGACGCAAGUCUGAACCAGCCAUGCCGCGUGAAGGAUUAAGGUCCUCUGGAUUGUAAACUUCUUUUAUCUGGGACGAAAAAAGGCGAUUCUUCGUCACUUGACGUGUACCAGAUGAAUAAGCACCGGCUAACUCCGUGCCAGCAGCCGCGGUAAUACGGAGGGUGCAAGCGUUAUCCGGAUUCACUGGGUUUAAAGGGUGCGUAGGCGGGCAGGUAAGUCAGUGGUGAAAUCCUAGAGCUUAACUCUAGAACUGCCAUUGAUACUAUCUGUCUUGAAUAUUGUGGAGGUAAGCGGAAUAUGUCAUGUAGCGGUGAAAUGCUUAGAUAUGACAUAGAACACCUAUUGCGAAGGCAGCUUACUACGCAUAUAUUGACGCUGAGGCACGAAAGCGUGGGGAUCAAACAGGAUUAGAUACCCUGGUAGUCCACGCCCUAAACGAUGAUUACUCGACAUUUGUGAUACACUAUAAGUGUCUGAGCGAAAGCAUUAAGUAAUCCACCUGGGGAAGUACGACCGCAAGGUUGAAACUCAAAGGAAUUGACGGGGUCAUAGCUGUUUCCUG